ensembl:snRNA U6 U6 spliceosomal RNA
AUGCUUGCUUCGGUAGCACAUACACUAAAAUUGGAAUGUUACAGAGAAGAUUAGCAUCACCCCUGUGAAAGGAUAUCACGCAAAUUUAUGAAGCGUUCCAUAUUUCU